CGGGUGAGUAACACGUGGAUAACCUACCUAUAAGACUGGGAUAACUUCGGGAAACCGGAGCUAAUACCGGAUAAUAUUUUGAACCGCAUGGUUCAAAAGUGAAAGAAGGUCUUGCUGUCACUUAUAGAUGGAUCCGCGCUGCAUUAGCUAGUUGGUAAGGUAACGGCUUACCAAGGCAACGAUGCAUAGCCGACCUGAGAGGGUGAUCGGCCACACUGGAACUGAGACACGGUCCAG
rnacentral:rRNA from 1 species